AAAGUAUUUAAAUUUUAUAAACCAAACAUUUUUCCAAUAUAAAGCUCAAUUGAAGCAAAAAAUACACAAAAGAAAAAAGAUGGCUGAAGAUAUGAAGAAUGAGAUUCAAGAUCUGUUAACUAAACCUAUUACUCCAAGUGAAGAACCUGCUAAAGAAUCAUCAGAAAAAGAACAAGGACAAGGGAUAGUAGUUAUAAAUGAUCAACAAGAUGAAGCAAAAGAAGUAGAAGAUGAGAAGUUGGUGCAUGUAGUUGAAAAAGCAAAAUUUCCAACACCUCCUGGCAAACGACCUGGUCCUACCAUUGGUUGAAAUAAUAAUAUAAUUAUAAAUACAACUUUUGGAAAUUUUAAUUGCCUCUCUUUUUAUCGUUAAGUAGCUGAAAUAAUAAGAUACUUAGUGAGUAUUGAAAUCGACUUGACAGAAAGUAAUAUUAUUUUCACUUUUAAUAUACUUUAUCAAUAUGAUGUGGAAACAUACAUAUUAUGUAAUAAUAUACAACUUGUGUGUUGGCGUGGAUCGAAAGACUUUGCUUUAUAUCAUUUUUUAAGGUUGGUUUGGAA